rnacentral:rRNA from 1 species
UGAGGAAUAUUGGUCAAUGGGCGAGAGCCUGAACCAGCCAAGUCGCGUGAGGGAAGACGGCCCUAUGGGUUGUAAACCUCUUUUGCCGGGGAGCAACGGGCGCCACGUGUGGUGCAGACGAGAGUACCCGGAGAAAAAGCAUCGGCUAACUCCGUGCCAGCAGCCGCGGUAAUACGGAGGAUGCGAGCGUUAUCCGGAUUUAUUGGGUUUAAAGGGUGCGCAGGCGGGCUGCCAAGUCAGCGGUAAAAUUGCGGGGCUCAACCCCGUCGAGCCGUUGAAACUGGCGGUCUUGAGUGGGCGAGAAGUGUGCGGAAUGCGUGGUGUAGCGGUGAAAUGCAUAGAUAUCACGCAGAACUCCGAUUGCGAAGGCAGCACACCGGCGCCCAACUGACGCUCAUGCACGAAAGCGUGGGGAUCAAACAGG